GUGGGGAAUCUUAGACAAUGGGCGCAAGCCUGAUCUAGCCAUGCCGCGUGAGCGAUGAAGGCCUUAGGGUUGUAAAGCUCUUUCGUGGGGGAAGAUAAUGACUGUACCCCAAGAAGAAGCCCCGGCUAACUCCGUGCCAGCAGCCGCGGUAAUACGGAGGGGGCUAGCGUUGUUCGGAAUUACUGGGCGUAAAGCGCACGUAGGCGGACUGGAAAGUCAGGGGUGAAAUCCCGGGGCUCAACCCCGGAACUGCCUUUGAAACUCCCAGUCUUGAGUUCGAGAGAGGUGAGUGGAAUUCCGAGUGUAGAGGUGAAAUUCGUAGAUAUUCGGAGGAACACCAGUGGCGAAGGCGGCCAUCUGGACCAGCACUGACACUGAGGCACGAAAGCGUGGGGAGCAAACAGGAUUAGAUACCCUGGUAGUCC
rnacentral:rRNA from 1 species